AUGUAAGGGCAUUUUGUCUGUAUCACGUUUCAGACAAAGCUGUGGUAUUUUAAAUCACAUUUUAUUGUGAGACAUCUUGAUAACUGUAAGUGUUUGUGCUUACGGCUACUACCAGAAUGUUAUAAUUUCUUCAUACAUGUACACCCUUUUUUUAUAUACCAGCCCACCCAAUUGCAUUUCACACGAAGAUGAGCCAGUGUUAUACAUAACAAAAUAACCACAUAAUAUCUGCUAAUUUGUCUGCAUUCAUGAAAUAUGUAACGUAUGCAUUUAUAUGCAUAUUAUAUCCCGUUAUACCCAAUAAUUUAGAUUACCUGAAGCUUCAAAUAUGGAAUAGAAUGCGGUGGGUCAAAAUGAUUUCAGUUCUGUUACAUAGUUGAUAUUAAUGAGCACUGAGUCCAUGGCCAUAGAGGAGCUAGCUGAAUGUAUCCUAUACUUUGUAUUAAAAAUAGUGUGCAUUUAAGCAAUCAUGUGAGCAGACUUGGACUAGAAAAUAUCUAUUUGUACAGUUUUUUGUAGACGUGCUUCUUACCUUGCAGGGAAAUAAACUUUACAACCAAAAUGAGUUGUGGCAAUUUGUUUGUCCCAUCAUGACAUGCCACCAUCUAUCCGUCACACAUCUAGUUGUACACGCCCACCAGUAAUGUCAUAAGGGGCAGAUUUCCAAACGGCUUGUAACUGCUAAUCACACCACACCUGGUGGUAUGUCAUGGGACCGAUAACAUUUCAGCACAAAGAGACACGUCUUGCAUAAAAGUAAAACAGUAUUUGAAAACUCUUAGACUAUAUGUUAAAAGUGAAGUGAAUAUGACAGGCCUACAUUACAAGCGACGAUUUUUAAGCAUACCAGCGACCCCAAAAAACAUUUUAUUUUGAAAAAAACAUUCAGGAAGCGCUUUGUCAACGAUCGUUUGAUAAUUGUGAUUAACACUAAAGUCAGCUGCCUAAUGACAGAUAUUUGUAAUAUUCCCGGCCUCAGCCACGACUGGUCGCGCCAGGGGGUCCACGGUACAACGUGGUCCGUGAAAGGGUUGGAAAUGUUUGUUCACGUGCAACAUCGAUCUGCAGAUGAGCCGUCCGUCCGGGCCGGUCUAUCCUUCCAGUGCCCUCCUGCUUCCCUGGGAGGCAGCCAGCGGUCGGCUCUGAUCAGCACCGUGGCCCAUUACCUCCACCUGUUCUCCGCAAAGAUACCACUGGAUCUCUGACGGAGGAACCUCAAGGUCUGCCGGCGAGGCGGCCCCCCUUGGACCCACCGCUCGUCCUUCGGUACUGAAGAUGAACCGCAGGGGGUGGUGGAACCGGCCCUCUGGGUUCUCUGGAGGGCGGGAUCCGGAGGGGCGGAAGGGGGGUCGGAUUUGGCCAGGGAGCGUGAACAUGGAACGGAGACGGGGUUAGUAGGGGAGAUGGUGGACGCGCCCGUUGUGGGAUGGAGGGUGAUCUGUGAAGAGGUCGUUGGCGGGGCCUAGAUAUACGCCCACACCUUUCUCUCCUCCACCCCUCCUGGCUGUCCCUCCUCCACCCCCCCCCCCCGGCUGUCUCGACCCCCAACGCGCACCGUGGAGGAUUCUGUGCAUUCCUCUCCUCAGCGUGGGGUCAGGUGUCAUUUGACCCCUCACAUUCCAGGGUUACCGCUGCAUGGAGGAAGGACCUCGAUGGAUGUGGAUGAGAGUAGCGAAGGGUUCUCACAAUCGCCACAGUCCCGUUUGACGUAUCCCGAGCAUUCGUUGAGUCCUCACCUCGACACUCACCCCUUUAUCCCUGACCCCCCCACUAACAAGUUUGUUGCGUUUUCUGCCAUUGAAUCAAAAAAAUGUAGUGAGCUCCAGUCCGUCCCUCGCAACCAAAACCUCCGUUUAUCAUUUCGCUAUCAAACAGACGAUUCUUCACCCGUUGACAAGCAAUCAGAUACCUUCCUCAACCAGCAAAUAACAGUUACUUCAACCUUGCAGGCCCCUGUCUUCAUGGAAAUGUCAUACAGUCCAACAAACAGCUCUUCAGAGCUUGACGUUUCAAUGUCCGCUGUAUCGUAUGAAUCUGUGAGCGUGUCAGCUGCAUCUGCCGUGGCGGAUCUACAACCAAGCCUCAGGAACAUAAAGACGGUCUCAGAGAAUACAUAUGCUGAACCCUCAAGCCUGGGAUACAACCCUGAGCUCCUCAUCACCCCCCUUGAUUAGUACGACCCCAAUGCCUUCUCUCCACCUGGAACCCGCCAGGGUCAGCGACCGUAGCCCAGCGCCAGAUUCUACAAACCCCUCCUCUUCAGCCUCCGAACCCUUCCCUACUUCACCGUCCAAAAGCACGUCCACGCCACGGACCACCUUCCACCCAGAGCUGUCCGAGAACUCUCGGACCAGCAGUGACUCUCGCUCCUCUCUUUCUCAACCACAACAACAACAGUCCCCGGCUCCACCAGUGACACAUGGUGGCAGCGGCGGCGGCGGCUGUGGCGACAGAGCAGCGCUUGUUAGCGGGCUGACUUGCCGCCGCUGUUCAAAAGAGCCCCCCUCGCCGGCCAGCCUGCCCUGGUCGGGCUACAGCACCGGGCUCGGUGACUCAGACGCCCCCCCCACAUACUGGGUCCCAGGAGCUUGGGGGAUGUCACCUACGCUGCCAAGUUCGCCCAGUCUCCAGCGACUCGAGAUUUGACUCGGAUGCUCACAGGCCGACACUCGCAGGCGACACACCGAGAUUGACUCCCACAGGAAAUGACAUCAUCGGUGCCCUCUGGUGCGACAUCACACCGAGAUAUUGAUCCGCGUCCUUCCUCGUUGUUUCAGACGUCGAUGCCUAUAAGCGCGUUUUCCCAUAAAUCCAUCUCUAGCUACCAGGCUACCUACCAGGUAGGGAGACGGGCAAGUAAGCAUUCAAUAAUUCCAUUUGUCCCGAAUGAAAUGAUUGAACAAGCUUAGUAUAGGCCUGCAACAUCCAAAGAUGCCCCAUUUUUAGCUAUUUAUUUUGUCUGAGCAUUCGAUUUAUGUAUCGCUGUUGGGUUGUAAAGAAUAUAGCCAAAAUAUGCUUUGUUGCCUACCCCAGCCUUAAUACGGCAUCGCUUCAAUUAGUUCUCCCGAUGACAAAACGCAUCAUCUUCUGGCAACUUCAUUGCUCACACUUUGUGUGAUCGGCAUAUCUACAAAAGAAAGAACUUUGAAUUGAAAUACAAUAGUAUGCAUAAAAAAAACGGAGACGGCCCGACGUCUGAGCUCAGUCUGUUGGGUUAGUAUCCAAGUGCCCCUGUGGGAAAACGACGUCGGGAGGAGAGCGCUUCCGACAUCCACCGAGUCCUCCGCCUCCGUGGAGGGCGUGGUCCAGGGUUACCACGGUAACAUGGCGGCGGUGGCUGCUGGUGUGAGGGUGUGCUGAGAUCCUCUGGAGGCCUUCCCGUUUUCGUGAACGUCCAUUCUAAGGCCGGGAGAGAAAAGGUCCCAGAAGCUUGGAGGAUACCACCUACGCUGCCAAGUUCACCCAGUCGCCGACGAGUCGAGAUUCCUCCCUGACUCAGACGCUCACAGGCCGACUCUCGCAGACGACACCCCGAGAUGGACUCACACCGGAAAUGACGUCAUCGUGCGCUCUGGUGCGACAUCGCACCGAGAUAUUGAUCCGCGGCCUUCCUCGCCGUUUCAGACGUCGAUGCCUAUAAGCGCGCCCAUGCGACCUUUGACCUCUGAACAGGGUUACUUCAGCAGAGCUAGACAGCCACAGCAGGAGGCCUUCAUCGUUACCCGGAGAAUCGACCCCAAUCAUGAUGAUGUCGUCGUUGCCACGGUCACGGUUUCAAACAUGGAUGACGGCUCUGUUGACCGAUGUCGGGGGAUUAACGGAGUCUCUGUCGCAAAUGGAUUGGAAACAUUCCCUAUCUGGCACAGAACUCUCUCGAGAUAGCCUGAGGUACCUUCAAGUCAACAACAUACCCGUCCCUGAAACAAAACGGAGAGAUUUCCACAGAUUUCACAGGUCGUGCCAGUCCUGUUAACAGACAUGGAAAACCUGAUGGAUGAUCAGACUCCCUUGAAAACAUGUGCAUGACAGUGAUCCACAUCUGCUAGAGAGCAAAGAUCUCAGACCGUCCUCAACAGUACUCAACCUCAACACCCCCAUGCUAUCCCCAGGAAUAGAGUUCAGCUUGCAUUCAACAAUGGAUUUCUUAAACACAGAGAAACCUGGUCCACAUUCUGCCAGGGUGACUCAAACCCUUGCUGCUACCCUAUCAGAGUCCAAUAUGGCCCUAAACUUUGAGGUUUCAACAGUAGUGAGCGGUGAAUUUGAUCCUAUAUCACCCUCUGCUGUUCAAAUACAGAACACCAUCGCCUCCACUUCCACACUACUGAGUCUCAAGCCCCUGCUGGCUCUGUGUGGAACCUCUCUGGGGAAGGAGAGCGUGAAUGGAGGUGGAUGUACACCCCUGUACUACACCCUACUUCCGCAGACAACAAAAAGCAUCUUUUCAUCCAUUUUCUCGACACUCAUGCUGGAAAACAGGCUGGAACCGCACAGUUCCAACUGUCACUCUUCAGUCAGUCGAUCUUCUCAAAGCAGGCACAGACCCUCAGAGAGACAACCAGUGUGUAUGUGUCAUUGUCUCCGAUGAGCCACGACACAGUAGAGUACAUGAAGGAUGACUCGCAGCUGCUGGUCCUGGUGGCCCGCGACCGGGAGGGCCUCGGCGACCGGGUGGUCAUCAGCGUGGACCUCCGCCGCCCGGACGCCAAACCCUGCCACCGCUUCACCGCCACGGUGCGCCGCAGCCUGGCCUGGGAGCUCCGCCGGCGCCUCCUGGUGGAGCUCCUGCUGAGCAACGCUCUCGGCGUUCUUCGACAGCCGCCAGCUCGCCGUGGUCGCCAUGGUCCCCGGGUCGAUCGUGGUGUCGUGGUACGACCGCAGUCUGUGCUGUCGCCGGCAACGGAGCGGUGCCGGGAGCGCGGCGGGGGGCGUUGCCACGGAGACCGCAUCCGGCAGAUGUGGGCGGAGAUGAGCAGCGCGGACGGCGGGGUGAGCCCGGCGUUUUACCGGGGUGGGGGCGCUGGGUGCAGACCCCGACUUUUGGGCCGCAGACCCCCCCACGACCCCCGCUCCUGGAGCAUCCACCCCCGCAGACUGCACCACCUCCCCAAACUCCUCCGUCACCCGCUCCCACCCCCCUGGAUGCAACCCUCCUCAUCAGACGUCGCCGUUGACUACUGCGUCACGACCGGGCGAAGGCGGCGGUGACCGGAUGGCGGCCAUGGCGACCGCCUUGCUGGUGUUCUGCCUCCUUAUGCUCGCGCUCCUCCUCUUCCUCGCGGUGCUCUUUUGUUACAGAGCCGGCCGUAGGAGGAAGAGCCGUUGUGGGUCUGUGGGAACGCGGACCACAAGGCCGUGCGCCCCGGGCCCCCCCAGGCUGCUGUACCAAGACUGACCUCAACAGCCCCCGGGGGCGCUGUGGAUCCGUCUGGAGGAGGGCGGCGUGGGCUUUGAUACACGCGGGACGGAUAAAAUGUAAAUGGUGACAGGAACUUGGACCUGGAACAUAAACUUUUAUUUCAAUUUCGUUUAGGUCGAUAAAAGGGGCCCUAUUUUACAACCAGGUGUGAGUGUAUUAGCCAUUACAAUCCGUUUAAAAAAUCUCAUCAGUUCAUAGGGCGGUCUACUCUGUGGACUUAACCAAUAGUUAGGCUUAUCUUUUUUAACAUCUAGGUGGACACUCCCACUUGUGAUGUCACUGUCACAGAGUAGGGGCGAUUUUGAAGCGGCUUGAAAUGGCUGAUCACACUCUCACCUGGUGGUCAAAUAAGGGCCCUAUAAGAGAUGGAUUAAUCAAAAGUCAAGCUAGGCUGCGGACAUUGGGGAUCGAACUCUAUUCCACUUUUGAAAUUGUUCCCACAAACAUGACCCCCCCCCCCCCUAUGUAAUCUGUUCAGUAGUAUGAACCCUUGCAUACUAUUAGUUGCUGUGUCUGUUACAGCAGAUCAUUUGAUAUACGUCGCUGAUAUUAUUGUCCCCUCCAGAAACGACUCCCCCUAAGUUACAAAGCAGAUCUGCGCCCUUCCUACAAGGUAGGUAAACGGACAUGUAAGCUAUCCAAUCAUUUCAUUUGGCCCGAAUAAAAUGAUUGGAUGAGCUUAGUAUAGGGCUUCAACAUUCUAAAGAAUAUAGCCAAAAGAUGCUUCUAAAAUAAAUUGCCUACCCCAGCUUUCACACCGCAUCGCUUAAAUAACUUUUUCAAGGACGACAAAACGUGUAAUCGACAACAAUCGACAACUUUAUUGCUUUACACAACUUGUAAUAAUUGAUACACAAGUUUAGUGAUCACACUACAUAGUACCAAAGUCAAGAUACAUACAGCAGAAAAAAAUAAUGAAAUAAUUAGCUGAGAGGACGAAGGCAAAGGCAGCCCUAGAUAGAAGAGAGCUAGUGUGGUUUGCAGCAAAUGGCAAACCACCAGCUAAUGAAAGUCACGACUCUUUACCGCCUAACCUCAGCCUCCAACACCAAGAGCAACUAUGGAAACAUUGAAAAAAAAAGUAACAAGUACAGCAUCUAUGUUCAGCUCCUGCAGUGACCAGUGAAGUCUUCAUGUCAUCUCCUUUUAAGAAGAUAACACCUUGCAGUCAAUCACAGCUCUUAUCGAAUGGCAGAACCCAAGUGUGAAACAAAACAACCAAUGUCUGUUGGUAUAUAAAAAAUAGUCACAACGAAAUAUUUUCAUCCGUCAUUUUAUCUCAUUAUGUUCACAAAGCCCCCGGUUUCCGGCAUCAGAGCUCGCAUCUGUCCAUUUAUGUUUGGUGUCCUCCUAGUAGUAACUCCUUAAGCAGUUCUUGCCCUUGCCACCAUCAGGUUUCCCUUUUCUCCAGGAGGGGUUAUCCGCUGACAGGACGGUCCCAUCAACCCAUCUCCACAACCCUUCACUGGCCUAAUUUGUCGCUCCGAGCCAGAUGUACCUGCUAAAGAAGUCCAUCUCUUCUUUACCGUCCAUGUUUCACAAUCAACAGAUCUGCUCCUUGGGAUACACAGAACUCCCUUCUCUUAUUCCAAGAUUCCAGCACAUUGGGAAAAAGCUCACAGGGUCCGGCUGCUGACUUCUUACUGUUCCCAGAGUAUUGGAGGACUCCUCUGCCCCUACAUAGUCCUGGUGUUGAUCUCCGAGGCUCUCACUGGAAGAAUUUUGACGAGAUGCUACCUGCUACCUGUGCUUGCAAAAGUCCCUUUGUAUGGUUGGAUACAUCCUGUUGUCUAAAUGACCCUCAUUAAGCAGUUCAUGUCCUUGCCACCAUCACGAUGCCCGCUGAACCAGUAGGGGUUAUCCGCUGACAGGACGGUCCCAUCAACCCAUCUCCACAACCCCUCACUGGCCUCAUCUGUCGCUCCGAACCAGUAGGACUUGCCCUCGAUGUUAAUGAAGUCCAUCUCCUCUUCACUGUCUACAACCACAAGAUCUGCUCCGACGGAACCGCAGAGCUCCCUGCUCUUAUUCCAGGAUUCCAUCUCAUUGGAAAUAAAGUAACACUUGCAACCAAACUUAGUCCAAUUACCUGAACAUUCCUGUUUGCAAAGCAGUGAUUCUCUCUGCUCUAUCGCAAUCAUCAGCCAUUGGAGAAGUUCCUCCACCUCCAUGCUUACGGUCUUGUGUUGCUCUGUCACAUUCUUCAGCCUUUGGAGAAGUUGCUCCGCGUCUCUGCCCAUGCUUAUGGUCUUGUGUUGCACCGCAAACCGAAGCAGUCCAGCCAGCAGGGUAAGAGACAGCAGGACCAGAAGCACCACCACAGCCCUGAUCGGCCACUGAGGGGGGCUCACAGGGUCCGGCUGCUGACUUCUUACUGUUCCCAGAGACUUGGAGGACUCAUCUGUCCCCACAUAGUCCUGGUGUUGAUCUCUGAGGCUCUCAAUGCUAUCGUAGUCGUCCUUUAUACUCUCCUCUCCAUCUCCUUGUUUGUUCCUGGCCUUGAUCAUCUUCAUGUUGAGCGUUACGUGAAUCACCUCAGCCAUAUUCUGGUCCAAACUGUUUUCAGAGUUUCUUAUCGUCCUACCCCUAUGAGUGCUUGGUCUUUCUGUGCGUUUUGAA